AAUGUAAGUGCGCUAAUAUCGCAUUUAUUUGACGAAGGCUCCAAAGGAAGCCACGGCUAACUCUGUGCCAGCAGCCGCGGUAAUACAGAGGUGGCAAGCGUUGUUCGGAAUUAUUGGGCGUAAAGGGCACGUAGGUGGGUUUGUAAGUCAGAUGUGAAAGCCUUCUGUUCAACGGAAGAAUUGCAUCUGAAACUGCAGGUCUUGAGUGUAGGGGGGGAGAGUGGAAC
rnacentral:rRNA from 1 species